rnacentral:rRNA from 1 species
GCUGGCGGCAGGCUUAACACAUGCAAGUCGAGCGGUAACAGAUCUAGCUUGCUAGAUGCUGACGAGCGGCGGACGGGUGAGUAAUGCAUAGGAAACUGCCCAGUAGUGGGGGAUAGCCCGGGGAAACCCGGAUUAAUACCGCGUACGCCCUUCGGGGGAAAGCAGGGGAUCUUCGGACCUUGCGCUAUUGGAUGUGCCUAUGUCGGAUUAGCUAGUUGGUGGGGUAAAGGCCUACCAAGGCGACGAUCCGUAGCUGGUCUGAGAGGAUGAUCAGCCACAUCGGGACUGAGACACGGCCCGAACUCCUACGGGAGGCAGCAGUGGGGAAUAUUGGACAAUGGGCGAAAGCCUGAUCCAGCCAUCCCGCGUGGAGGAUGACUGCCCUACGGGUUGUAAACUCCUUUUAUAUGAGAAGAAACGCCUGGAUUUAUCCGGGCCUGACGGUAUCUUAUGAAUAAGCACCGGCUAACUCCGUGCCAGCAGCCGCGGUAAUACGGAGGGGGCUAGCGUUGUUCGGAAUUACUGGGCGUAAAGCGCACGUAGGCGGAUCAGUCAGUCAGAGGUGAAAUCCCGGAGCUCAACUUCGGAACUGCCUUUGAUACUGCUGGUCUAGAGUCCGGGAGAGGUGCAUGGAAUUCCGAGUGUAGAGGUGAAAUUCGUAGAUAUUCGGAAGAACACCAGUGGCGAAGGCGGCUCACUGGCUCGGUACUGACGCUGAGGUGCGAAAGCGUGGGGAGCAAACAGGAUUAGAUACCCUGGUAGUCCACGCCGUAAACGAUGUCUACUAGCCGUUGGGACUCUUGAAGUCUUAGUGGCGCAGCUAACGCACUAAGUAGACCGCCUGGGGAGUACGGCCGCAAGGUUAAAACUCAAAUGAAUUGACGGGGGCCCGCACAAGCGGUGGAGCAUGUGGUUUAAUU